GACGAACGCUGGCGGCGUGCCUAAUACAUGCAAGUCGAACGAACGGACGAGGAGCUUGCUUCUCUGAUGUUAGUGGCGGACGGGUGAGUAACACGUGGAUAACCUACCUGUUAGAGUGGGAUAACUACGGGAAACGGGAGCUAAUACCGUAUAAUAUCUUGUAUCGCAUGGUUGAUAAGUAAAAGACGGACUUGCUGCACUUUCUCGAUGGAUCGCCGCUGCUUGAGCAGGUUGGGAGGGAAACGGCCUACAACGGGAAGGAUGAAAGGCCGACGUGUGGGGGGGAUCGGCCACCCUGGAACUGAGACGCGGUCAGUACUCCUACGGGAGGCAGCAGAAGGGAACCUUCGGCAGUGGGCGAAAGCCUGACGGAGAAACGCGGCGUGAGUGAUGAAGGUCUUCGGAUCGUAAAACUCUGUUAUUGGGGAAGAACAGAUGUGUAAGUAACUGUGCACAGCGUGACGGUACCUAAUCAGAAAGCCACGGCUAACUACGUG
rnacentral:rRNA from 1 species